AAGUGAGACGUUAAGAUCAGCAGCUGUAUCAAAGCACAGAGCUGUCAAGUUCUGGGGGAGGCUAUUUGCCAGAUCAGAGCACAUAAACUUUUAGGAUAGAAACUAGAAUAUGAAUUAAGCUCAUAUCACUCAUAAAAGAGCUGAAUGCAUCUGAAACCAAAGUACACUGUCAGCCUCCUCCACUUGCUCCGGGCGCUGAUGCUUCGAUUAGCUAUGCAAGAAGCUACCUGCUAUUUUAGAAUUAUAUGAAGUCACCUCGGGGUAUCUACAAGCUUCUCACGCACAAGAUACUGACUUUUUUUUUUCCUCCUUAUUCUUGGCUUAGAGCACAGUUGUUGCUCCAUCCCGGUGCAAAAAUGUCUCAUGCUAAUCUCUUUGACCUGAAGUAAAUGCAGGCACCUUCGAAACAGGAGUCUUAGAGUCUACUUCUUACUCAACAGAUCCACAGCAAACGCCACUGACCUCAUCUUAUUCUGCCCUACUCCAAAUCGCCAGGGCUUAAUUAGACAUAUCUGGAACCAAGCCUGGCUUCUCCAAACCCAUCAUGGAUGAACUGGAUGAACUGAGCUGCAGCUAUGCAACGGCUUUUGUCUCUGUGGUUUAUACAAGUAAAGAAGGUGACUAAAAUCCAAGAGUUCUACUCUUGUGACGUGAAGACUAUGGCUUCUACGUGGUUCUGACCUAGGCUGUUUUGACCAUAUAAACUGUAAGAAAAAAAAAAGAAUAUGAAAUAGUUACUGCUACCAGUAUUUCAAAACGAAACCAAAUGCUCUAAAGCAUCACCCUGAAAUCAAAUUUCCAGUUGAUUAAGUGGAAGUUUGGAAGAGGGAGAGACGGAUGCAUUGGGAAGCUGUUGAGUAAGUAAUCUCUAGGCAUGGCCCGUGGCCCACGGAGCAGCACACAAGUUGAGUGUUCCAGAAAGAUUACAUGAGUUACAACCCUUGACCUUUUAUUCCCAGCUAGACAAGGAUUAGUUCUCCUCAGCAUGCAGGAAAAUGUGAAUGCAUUUUUCUAGGGCUAGUGCUAAGGCAGAGAAGCCACCAGUGGAAGGACCGUGAGUACUUCCUGUAUUAAUAUUAUCUCAACUCCUGGGAACAAUAGGCAAAUGCACUUGAAAAGCUACCCUUGUCCCUGGAAUCAAGGAGAACACUUUGCCAUUGGCUAAUUACUUAUUUAUUCAUUCAACAAAUAUUUAUUCAUAGUAUACUUAAGUUCUUGCAUGCAUGCAUCAUUACACUGGAAACACACUAUAGCAGGAAACCCUAUCUAAAUAAAUGCUAGUUUCUUUC